CCUCCCAGCACUCCCAGUCUGGUGGAAGUCUUGCUCUGUUUGCCCAGCAGAGCUCUUAAGGACAAAACAGUACCAGCUGCAGGUGGGGGUGCAGAAAGUGCCAGAAGGAAGCAGAGGCAGCAGGGAAAGGAGGAGAGAAAAAGGCUGGAACCGUGGAGGCCAAAUGACAGGGGCCACACCGAGAGCCCUAGGUGAUGGAUGGCUCAGGAGGGAGCAGCCCCAUGGAGGUGUGGGUGAGGGGAAGAGCAGCCACCCUUGCAGGUGACGGUGACAGUGACGGUGGCCGCUCAUGCUGUCCCCUGAGAAGCCCGAGGCACAGCAGAGAACCAAAGGCAGAAGGAAGCAAAGAGGAUGAGCUCCCAGUGGGCUCCAGGUCCCCUCCGCUUCCCAGCCCAGACUCUGGGACCCCUCCUGACACGAGCUUUGGCUGUCUCAGUCUCCCUUGUCCUGUGCUCUCCUCCACUCUGGGCAAGCCCACAGCCUUCCUGGAGCCGGGCUUCACCUAAAGUCUCUUCCCUGAGGCCCGCGCUUCCAUUCCUUCUCCGGAUGCAGCUCCGCUGGACCCUCAGCCAGCCCUGAGCAGGUGGGACAGGAAGCCAGACCUCGGCAGUGCGCCCCCGCCUGACCUGUCUGCGUAGCUCUGGGUCAAGAAUGACUAAUGUCCUGCUCUGCACCGCACAGACCGGUUGAGGCUUGAUUUGUGCCUGGCACGUUCUUAAGAGUUCUCCUUUUCACUCUUAAAGUCAUUCUAUUCAGGACAAUAAAUUAUAGAGGUGUACAAUCAUGAUCACUUUAGUUUUCCAGGCUGGAACAUUUUAAUAAAUCAUAAAACUUUAUGAGCAAUAUGGACAGCAUAAAUUAAAUCAAUCUAAGUGCAGCCCCAUUCCCACUUUGUUUUUGUUUUUUAUUUGAGACAGAGUCUUGCUGUGUAGUUCAGGCUCCUUACACUCAUUAUGUAGCUGAGGCUAGUCUCAAACUUUUGGCAAUCCUCC
rnacentral:lncRNA from 1 species